UACAUAGGGUGCAAGCGUUGCUCGGAAUUAUUGGGCGUAAAGAACAUGUAGGAGGAUUUGAAAGUCAAAGGUGCAAUCCCUGAGCCUAACUCAGGAACUGCUUUUGAUACUACAAAUCUAGAGGAAGAUAGAGAGUGGUGGAAUUCUUAGUGGAGGAGUGAAAUCUAUAGAUAUUAAGAGGAACGCCAGAGGCGAAAGCGGCCACUUAGGUCUUUCCUGACUCUGAGAUGUGAAAGCGUGGGGAGCAAACAGG
rnacentral:rRNA from 1 species